CCCUUAGACGUUCUGGGCCGCACGCGCGCUACACUGACCAGUGCAACAAGCAUCCGUCCUUGGCCGACAGGCUCGGGCAAUCUUUGAACGCUGGUCGUGAUGGGGAUAGACUUUUGCAAUUUUUGGUCUUCAACGAGGAAUUCCUAGUAAACGCAAGUCAUCAACUUGCAUUGAUUACGUCCCUGCCCUUUGUACACACCGCCCGUCGCACCUACCGAUUGAAUGGUCCGGUGAAAUCUCCGGACUGGCGUGAGUCGGAGCAAUCUGACAAACGCCGGAAAGUUGAUUAAACCUUACCAUUUAGAGGAAGGUGAAGUCGUAACA
rnacentral:rRNA from 1 species